rnacentral:rRNA from 1 species
GACGGAGGAUGCAAGCGUUAUCCGGAAUGAUUGGGCGUAAAGCGUCCGCAGGUGGCAGUUCAAGUCUGCUGUCAAAGACCGGGGCUUAACUUCGGAAAGGCAGUGGAAACUGAACAGCUAGAGUAUGGUAGGGGCAGAGGGAAUUCCUGGUGUAGCGGUGAAAUGGCGUAGAGAUCAGGAAGAACAUCGGUGGCGAAGGCGCUCUGCUGGACCAUAACUGACACUCAGGGACGAAAGCUAGGGGAGCGAAUGGGG